rnacentral:rRNA from 1 species
CGCUUCUUUUUCACCGGAGCUUGCUCCACCGGAAAAAGAAGAGAGGCGAACGGGUGAGUAACACGUGGGUAACCUGCCCAUCAGAAGGGGAUAACACUUGGAAACAGGUGCUAAUACCGUAUAACAAUCAAAACCGCAUGGUUUUGAUUUGAAAGGCGCUUUCGGGUGUCGCUGAUGGAUGGACCCGCGGUGCAUUAGCUAGUUGGUGAGGUAACGGCUCACCAAGGCCACGAUGCAUAGCCGACCUGAGAGGGUGAUCGGCCACAUUGGGACUGAGACACGGCCCAAACUCAUACGGGAGGCAGCAGUAGGGAAUCUUCGGCAAUGGACGAAAGUCUGACCGAGCAACGCCGCGUGAGUGAAGAAGGUUUUCGGAUCGUAAAACUCUGUUGUUAGAGAAGAACAAGGAUGAGAGUAACUGUUCAUCCCUUGACGGUAUCUAACCAGAAAGCCACGGCUAACUACGUGCCAGCAGCCGCGGUAAUACGUAGGUGGCAAGCGUUGUCCGGAUUUAUUGGGCGUAAAGCGAGCGCAGGCGGUUUCUUAAGUCUGAUGUGAAAGCCCCCGGCUCAACCGGGGAGGGUCAUUGGAAACUGGGAGACUUGAGUGCAGAAGAGGAGAGUGGAAUUCCAUGUGUAGCGGUGAAAUGCGUAGAUAUAUGGAGGAACACCAGUGGCGAAGGCGGCUCUCUGGUCUGUAACUGACGCUGAGGCUCGAAAGCGUGGGGAGCAAACAGGAUUAGAUACCCUGGUAGUCCACGCCGUAAACGAUGAGUGCUAAGUGUUGGAGGGUUUCCGCCCUUCAGUGCUGCAGCUAACGCAUUAAGCACUCCGCCUGGGGAGUACGACCGCAAGGUUGAAACUCAAAGGAAUUGACGGGGGCCCGCACAAGCGGUGGAGCAUGUGGUUUAAUUCGAAGCAACGCGAAGAACCUUACCAGGUCUUGACAUCCUUUGACCACUCUAGAGAUAGAGCUUCCCCUUCGGGGGCAAAGUGACAGGUGGUGCAUGGUUGUCGUCAGCUCGUGUCGUGAGAUGUUGGGUUAAGUCCCGCAACGAGCGCAACCCUUAUUGUUAGUUGCCAUCAUUCAGUUG